GCGUGCGCAGGCGGUUUGUUAAGACAGAUGUGAAAUCCCCGGGCUUAACCUGGGAACUGCGUUUGUAACUGGCAAGCUAGAGUGUGGCAGAGGGGGGUGGAAUUCCAGGUGUAGCAGUGAAAUGCGUAGAUAUCUGGAGGAACACCGAUGGCGAAGGCAGCCCCCUGGGCUAACACUGACGCUCAGGCACGAAAGCGUGGGGAGCAAACAGGAUUAGAUACCCUGGUAGUCCACGCCCUAAACUAUGUCAACUGGUUGUCGGGGAAGCAAUUCCUUGGUAACGAAGCUAACGCGUGAAGUUGACCGCCUGGGGAGUACGGCCGCAAGGUUAAAACUCAAAGGAAUUGACGGGGACCCGCACAAGCGGUGGAUUAUGUGGAUUAAUUCGAUGCAACGCGAAAAACCUUACCUACCCUUGACAUGCCAGGAAGCUCGCAGAGAUGCGAGUGUGCCCGAAAGGGAACCUGGACACAGGUGCUGCAUGGCUGUCGUCGGCUCGUGUCGUGAGAUGUUGGGUUAAGUCCCGCAACGAGCGCAACCCUUGCCAUUAGUUGCCACAUUAAGUUGGGCACUCUAAUGGGACUGCCGGUGACAAACCGGAGGAAGGUGGGGGAUGACGUCAAGUCCUCAUGGCCCUUAUGGGUAGGGCUUCACACG
rnacentral:rRNA from 1 species